rnacentral:rRNA from 1 species
AUUGAACGCUGGCGGCAUGCCUUACACAUGCAAGUCGAACGGCAGCACGGGAGCAAUCCUGGUGGCGAGUGGCGAACGGGUGAGUAAUAUAUCGGAACGUGCCCAGUCGUGGGGAUAACGUAGCGAAAGCUACGCUAAUACCGCAUACGAUCUACGGAUGAAAGCGGGGGAUCGCAAGACCUCGCGCGAUUGGAGCGGCCGAUAUCAGAUUAGGUAGUUGGUGAGGUAAAGGCUCACCAAGCCGACGAUCUGUAGCUGGUCUGAGAGGACGACCAGCCACACUGGGACUGAGACACGGCCCAGACUCCUACGGGAGGCAGCAGUGGGGAAUUUUGGACAAUGGGCGCAAGCCUGAUCCAGCAAUGCCGCGUGCAGGAUGAAGGCC